rnacentral:rRNA from 1 species
CGGAUCCGCGCCGCUGCAGAGUUUGAUCCUGGCUCAGGAUGAACGCUAGCUACAGGCCUAACGCAUGCAAGUCGCGGGGCAGCAUGGAUUCUGCUUGCAGUAUCCGAUGGCGACCGGCGCACGGGUGAGUAACGCGUAUCCAACCUGCCUCCAUGCAGGGCACAGCCCGGCGAAAGUCGGAUUAAUUCCCUAUGCCCUCCCUCGCGGACAUCCAAUGGGGAGGAAAGGCUUCGGCCGCAUGGAGAUGGGGAUGCGUAGGAUUAGCUUGACGGCGGGGUGACGGCCCACCGUGGCAACGAUCCUUAGGGGUUCUGAGAGGAAAGUCCCCCACACUGGUACUGAGACACGGACCAGACUCCUACGGGAGGCAGCAGUGAGGAAUAUUGGUCAAUGGUCGGAAGACUGAACCAGCCAAGUAGCGUGCAGGACGACGGCCCUACGGGUUGUAAACUGCUUUUAUGCGGGGAUAACCGGCGGCACUGGUGCCGCCCUGCAGGUACCGCAUGAAUAAGGACCGGCUAAUUCCGUACCAGCAGCCGCGGUAAUACGGAAGGUCCGGGCGUUAUCCGGAUUUAUUGGGUUUAAAGGGAGCGCAGGCGGGAGUCUAAGCGUGCCGUGAAAAGCUGUGGCUCAACCACAGUCGUGCGGCGCGAACUGGUCUUCUUGAGUUCACGGUAAGCGGGCGGAAUUCGUGGUGUAGCGGUGAAAUGCUUAGAUAUCACGAGGAACCCCGAUUGCGAAGGCAGCCCGCUGCAGUGUUACUGACGCUCAUGCUCGAAGGCGCGGGUAUCGAACAGGAUUAGAUACCCUGGUAGUCCGCGCGGUAAACGAUGGAUGCCCGCUGUGCGCCCUUAGCGGUGCGCGGCCAAGCGAAAGCGUUAAGCAUCCCACCUGGGGAGUACGCCGGCAACGGUGAAACUCAAAGGAAUUGACGGGGGCCCGCACAAGCGGAGGAACAUGUGGUUUAAUUCGAUGAUACGCGAGGAACCUUACCCGGGCUUGAACUGCAGAGGAAGGAUCUGGAGACAGUGACGCCCUUCGGGGUCUCUGUGGAGGUGCUGCAUGGUUGUCGUCAGCUCGUGCCGUGAGGUGUCGGCUUAAGUGCCAUAACGAGCGCAACCCCUCUCCCCGGUUGCCAUCAGGUGAUGCUGGGCACUCCGUGGACACUGCCGCCGCAAGGUGGAGGAAGGUGGGGAUGACGUCAAAUCAGCACGGCCCUUACGUCCGGGGCUACACACGUGUUACAAUGGGGGGCACAGCGUGCCGGCGCGCCGCAAGGCGCGUCCAAUCAUGAAAUCCCCCCUCAGUUCGGACUGGGGUCUGCAACCCGACCCCACGAAGCUGGAUUCGCUAGUAAUCGCGCAUCAGCCAUGGCGCGGUGAAUACGUUCCCGGGCCUUGUACACACCGCCCGUCAAGCCAUGAAAGCCGGGGGCGCCUGAAGUCCGUGACCGCGAGGGUCGGCCUAGGGUGAAACCGGUGAUUGGGGCUAAGUCGUAACAAGGUAA